ensembl:lncRNA
CUUUUCCUUUGUUUUACUGGAGUUGAAGUGCACGGAUGACUUGGAACUCAUGGCGCUGCUUAUACAGCACUGGAAGAAGUAUCUGAGUGGCAGAGCAUCCUCCACUCGAAAUUUCAGCUGGAGCAUCUGCCCUUCCCAGGAUGACAGCUCACAUAAAAGACACUGUCCCAUGGGCUUCAAAAACUGUGAGACCAGUGAAAAGUGACUUUUGUAUGCACAGUUUGUGAGAUCUUGCAGAGAUAGCAAUGAGUAAAAUCUUGGCUGGAUUAAAAUGAAAGGUGAAACUCGCAAAUUCCUAUGAGGACAGAGUUUCACCCAGUUCCUUUUACAAGAUGAUAUUCCUUGCAGGGAGAAGGCCUGACUGAGAGUAAGAAUGAAGUGAACUUCACAGAAGACACUGAAUUUUUCCUUGAGCUCUAUAGAAAUAUAUAUUAAGUGGUUGUGGCAUGUUGUGUAUCAAAGUUCUGGCAUUUAACCUUUUGCGUAACAUUGAUGAUUCAGGCAGAUCCCAGUCAGGAAAUUGUUCUAAGUGUUGGAGAAGGCCUUCAAGCAGAGUUUGACUUAAUGGGCACUAAGAAACAUGAUCACAAGGGGCCAUUCCGUGCUCAGGGGGCAGACAAGAUGGCACUCCUGAUAAGGAAUCACCUACACCAGCCAUCCUGAGGACCUAUAGCUCAAACCUCAAAUAUGUGAGGAGGAGGAGGAAGAGGAGUGUUGGAGGAAAGCAAUCUCUCAGAGCUCUGACAAUUCCAGUCACAGCCUCUUAGUUCAUUUCCAUCUAUCCCCAGCAAUAAAGACGAAAUUCGUAC